rnacentral:rRNA from 1 species
AACCCGACCACACGAAGCUGGAAUCGCUAGUAAUCGCGGAUCAGAAUGCCGCGGUGAAUACGUUCCCGGGUCUUGUACACACCGCCCGUCACACCAUGGGAGUCAGCAACGCCCGAAGUCAGUGACCCAACCUUUAAGGAGGGAGCUGCCGAAGGCGGGGCAGGUGACUGGGGUGAAGUCGUAACAAGGUACC